GGCUCGGAGAGAGGCGCACAGCCCGAGCAGCAGCUGGGCGGGAAGCCGGGAGCUGGGCGGGGAGCGCACGUCCCCACCGCCGCGAGAGCGUCCUCUCCAUCCUUCCUCUAACGUUUUUCCCGCCCUGUCCCCACCUGGCCAACUCCGGUUUGUCCUGCAGGACGUGUCUCUUAGGCCACUGUGUCCACAGCCGGCUCCCCAUCAGGGGUGUCCGCUCUCCACUGGACUCCCAGCUCCUGUACACCGAACUCUGCCCUCUGCCGGGCCGUUGGGAGGACUCCAUGGAUCCAAACACGGAGCACUUCCUGCCGUGAGCGCGUGGAGCUGAGCAAACUUAACUCCAGAGGUUUGUAGGACCCGCAGCCCCCGGCUCUGAGGAGACACUGAGGGGCUGUUACCAGCCCUCCCGUCUGGCUGUGGCCAAUCCCAGAGAUGGCUUCGGUCUGCACAGAUAGAAAGUUUCAGAUGGUCUGUAGCGGCACCCCCUUCUUGUGGGGACCAGAGCAGCUUAACACCGAGGCAACAUCUGUUCCUUCCAUUCCUGGCUUCUAGAUGCCCAGGGAACGGCCCCAGGUGGGGCUGACCCCCAUCUCCGUCACCCGCCUGAGUGCUCUAACCGGGUUGGGCUCCGGCUGUCCCCUGUCCUGAGCUCAUGACCCAAGACUGGCAGGGGCAAAGCAAGGCCCGCAGCUUUGGAGUGUGGAGGAAGGAAAGGAAGACCGUUCGGGUGAGCCGCGUGAACCUGAACCUGAAAGUGGAGCAGCUGCAAGGGAAGAUGACGACAUAGGUAGAGCUCAGGUGGAGAAAAUCCCCGAGAGAUGGUCAGCCUCUGACUGGUCAGCUUGAGCACAACCUGCUUCCAGAGGUUUCGGACAGGUGAGCCAAGGAAUCGAUUUUACUAUUUAAGCUGGUUUCCGUCGAGACUUUGUUACCGGUUGCCAAAAGCAUCCUGACAAAUGUGAACACCUGAGGACUCUCUCCUCCUGUGUAAACUGAGCUUGUCAACUUAGUGGGAGCAGAAACCGGGGCGCCUGGGUGGCACAGUCGUUUAAACGUCCAGCUCGGGGAUUUGUUCAGGGUGUGAUCUCACGGCUCAGGAGUUCGGGCUCUGCGCUGACAGUGAGGAGCCUGCUUGGGAUUCUCUCCCUCUCUGCCCCUCCCGCGAGCGUUUGCUGUCUCGAAAUUGCAGGAGUUAAUGACUGCAACAAGUUAACUUGUUGUUAACGCCAGCAAGUGGCGUUAGAAAAUGGAGUUUCCGGUAAAUGGUGCUUCUUGCUGUGCCUCAGUCUCUGAAUCUAUGAAGAGGCUGACUCGUGAUAAGUGCUGCAACCCCCCCACAGGCCUGCAGCCACUGUGGGAACACCCGACCACACCACACACUGGAAAGCCAUGGGAGGGGUUAUGUGAAACCGCUCCCUUCUGGGAUCAAAGUUCUGCAAGCCUUAAGUGAGGUUCUCCUGAGCGAGGGGGACCUGGGGCGGAAGGCUUCACUCGGAGUUCUAGGAACACCUCACAGAGCUUGUUUCUUGCUGGAAACUGCGUGCCCCGUCCCCUGGGACCCUGGGGUGAAGACGCUGCACUCCCCCUUCUCAGGUUUCCAAGAAAUGCAGCUUGGAGGAAGGCAGUCAUCCCCAGGUCAUCGAGGUUCUUUCCGGCUUCCUGUUCCACCUCCUUGCUGCCUCCUGGUCACAAGAGGGCAGCCAAGCUCCAGGCGUCUGGACUCCGGAAGUGGUGGGCUGGCCCAGGCAGCGGGGAGACCGGGGAGGAAGACUUGUCCCAGAAGCACCCAGUCUGAGCUCCUAAUCUUAGCAUGUGCCCACCCCCAAUUGGGGACCACGGGUCUCUGUCCCUGAGAUCAAAGGACUGCCACCCGAUCCCCAGGAGGAGGAACCGGAGAAAUUCUUGUGUCUUCUUUCUCAGCCUAGGAGGACAGAUGUCCACCAUGCAGAGGCCCAGAACACGCUUAGCAUUCCACGUGCCAGGACCCCGAUGGGGGCAGCGCCUGUUGAACACCCCCUGCCAAGUCACGUGGUUUUGUACCAGUUCAGCUGGAAACUCCAACAAAACCCCACAAGGUGCAAGUUGGAAAGGUCCCCUCCCGUCACUUUCAGUGACCUGACCCCGCCCCUGAGCUUGGUCACUAGGCAUCUGCACUCCCGGCCCAAGCCCAGCAGGGGGCGUGCUUAGCGGUUACCACCAGGGCUCUGGCCAGCUUGCUGGUGUUCCAAUGUGGGCCGUCACGAGCCUCUCUGGCCUGGCUUUGUCACCUUUCAGUGUUCCAUAGGGGCACCUGGGUGGCUCAGUGGGUUAAGCGUCCAACUCUCGAUUUUGGCUCAGGUCACGAUCCCACGGCUGUGACACUGAGCCCCACGUUGGACUCCAUGCUUUGAGCAGAGAUUCUUGGGAUUCUCUCUCUGCUCCUCCCCCCACUCACACUCUCUCGAAAUAAACAAGUAAACAUUAAAAAUAAAUAAAUACAAUGUGGCUAUACCAGUUCUAACCCUACAGGGUUGCUAUGAGUAGUUAAUGCCUAUUGACUGUGCUGGUGCCUGGUCCAGGAUUCUCACCGUAGUGCAGCAAAGGUGUGGCUACAGCACCCUUCCUGGGACCCUGAGGGGACUGACAUUACGGUGGUGCCUUUCAGACUUUUUUUUUUUAGUUUAUUUUUUGAGAGAGAGAGAACAUGUGCAAGUGGGGGAAGGACAGAGAGAGGGGGAGAGAGACAAUCCCUAGCAGGUUCCACACAGUCAGCACAGAGCCCGACGUGGGGCUCAAACACACGAACUGUGAGAUCAUGACCUGAACCCGAAAUCAAGAGUCAGAAACUUAACCGACUGAGCCACCCAGGUGCCCCUCGAACACGCAAAAUAUCUUCUCUGGGUUCAAUUUUUCAAAUGCCAGUCGUGACCUACUAAAUUGAUUUUUACAGCCAUUGAUGGGCUCUGACCCUCAAUUUGAAACACUGCUCUAGACCACACUUCCUUUUUCUGAACUGACCUCGUCUAUUAGUUUCCUGUCACUGCAGGAGCAACCUGCCACAAAUAGGGCGGCUGAAGACAACGCAAACAUGUUCUCUUACGUUUCUGGAGGUCAGAGUCUCCCGUCUCAGCAGGCAGCGUGGCGUUCCUUCCAGAGGCUCCAGGGGAGACCUGGUUUCCUGGUCUUUGCCAGCUUCCAGAGGCUGCGGGCGUUCCUUGGCUCCGUGGCCCAGCGGCUCUCUAACCUGUGGCCACAUCUCUGACUCACCUGCCUGCCUCCCUCUCAUAAGGAUCCCUGGGAUACCGGGCCCAGCUGGAUAAUCCAGGAUCCUUUUCCUGACUUGAGCUCUUAAUUAUAUCUGCAAAGUUCACAAGUUCCAGGGAUUAGGACAUGGACAUCUCAGUGGGGGGGGGGGGGGGGCAUUAUUCUACCUACUGCACCCGGUUUCUAAUUAUACAUGCAUAAACAAGCAACCUAACCUCAUAAUUUAUAUACUGAUCUACACGGGACUUGAGUCCACGUGGGGUCGCUCGUGCCUCGGCCACACUGCAGACACCUGGGGAAAUCCUGGCCCUUCACACCAUUGCCUCCAGAGUGGGGCACACACGGCUUCGGGGCCAAACUGAAGAGUCAUGCCUAAGCAAUUAACCUGGGUUCUGAGGCAGACUGCGGAUUUUCUCAGAAUACUCUGCAAAUAACUUAAAUUUUUCUUCAGGUAGCAAGAACCUUCAUAUGUGGUUCCCAUUCUACCCCACUGUUAAUAAGGGUCUGCGGGGCUAUUAUGGCGUCAGUGCAAAGCCUAAAAGCAAACCUCAGCUUUACUAACAGGAAUUACCAAUUCCUGUUUUUACUGCCAUUUUACAGGUGAGGAGACUGAUGCUCAGAGAGGUUAACUGUAUGGCUCAAGGUCACACAACCUGGCAGAACUAUAACCUGCCAUCAGAGCCCAAAGGCUUGAAUCAAAGGGCUUUGGCAGUCACCCAGAGGCUCUCCAGAUGGGUAAUAAUUGUGGCCCCAGGCAUGGCCUGAGUCUCGGAGCUAGUGAGAGGAAGAGGGGUGCAUAGUAUAUAGCCCCCAGCAUUGCAGGGCUGUGGGUUUCUGGCUGUCCUCACUGGGAUGGGCCUUCCUCCCUGGGGGAGACACGGCCCAAGUUAUAAAACAAACAAAGAAACCCACUCUGGCUAAAUUACUGGAGGCAAAGUUAGAAAUGUGUCUCCGUUGCUGUUGUUUCUCUCGUGGAAUACAUUUCUCUAAAAACCUCUGGGCCUGUUGGCCAAACCAUGUGAUUUAAUUAAACUAAAAGACUUUUAGCUAAUUCCUGUUUAGGGGCUACUUCUGUCUCUCCUCUGGGACAACAGCCUGUGCACUGGUGCAAACACAUUUAUACAAGCGGUUCCUGCCACCAGCGGUCCAGAGAGGAGGCCACAGCAAAUACCUCCGCCACAGAGAUCCCCUCCUAGAGGGGAGUAUCGUUCCCAGGAGUCGCCGAAGGGCAAAAUUACUCAAGAGGGUAUCAUGAUGUCCUCUGAGAAGCAUGGUUACCAGUGUCUUAAAACUAGAGCUGUCUUCAAAUCACUGGGAGGCAACAGGGAAGGCUUGGGAGGCAAGGUGACCAAAGUAACGCCAUUUUGGUUUUAGGUUGACCCUUAACCUAAAAGUCAGCAGAUCAUAAAGAGUCAAAAUAUCUGACUCAUGGAAGACUGCAAGACUCCACUCCUGGCAGUAAAAGCCACAAAGCUAAACA